rnacentral:rRNA from 1 species
GACGAACGCUGGCGGCGUGCUUAACACAUGCCAGUCGAGCGGAAAGGCCCUUCGGGGUACUCGAGCGGCGAACGGGUGAGUAACACGUGAGUAACCUGCCCUAGACUUUGGGAUAACCCUCGGAAACGGGGGCUAAUACCGGAUACUCCUUCUAAAUCGCAUGAUUUGGUUGGGAAAGUUUUUCGGUCUGGGAUGGACUCGCGGCCUAUCAGCUUGUUGGUGGGGUAAUGGCCGACCAAGGCGAGGACGGGUAGCCGGCCUGAGAGGGCGACCGGCCACACUGGGACUGAGACACGGCCCAGACUCCUACGGGAGGCAGCAGUGGGGAAUAUUGCACAAUGGGCGGAAGCCUGAUGCAGCGACGCCGCGUGAGGGAUGACGGCCUUCGGGUUGUAAACCUCUUUCAGCAGGGACGAAGCGUAAGUGACGGUACCUGCAGAAGAAGCGCCGGCCAACUACGUG